rnacentral:ncRNA from 1 species
CCUCGCCCUCUGCACGACGCAGCGAGUCACGAAAGCGACACGGCCGCUCGCCAUUCACGCAAACGCGCGCGACGAGCGGGAACGCCCGAAAAGCCGCCCACUGCCGCCAGUCAGUGACGAGCAUCGGCAACCUACCCAACAUGGAAGCCGCGGACGCGAGCCUGGGUGAAGCCGACCGCGAGUGCAGAUCUCGGUGGUAAUAGCAAAUAUUCGAAUGAGACCUUCGAAGACCGAAGUGGAGAAGGGUAUCGUGCCAACAGCGGUCGAGCACGGGUCAGUUGGUCCUAAGAAGCGGGCGAAAGCUUCCACGAAAGGCGCCGGAUCCGUCGCGAAACGAAACGAAACGAACAUACUUAAGUACCUGAAUGAAUUUUCUUUAGAAAUACCUGUAGAAGAUUAAUAACUUUUCUUGUCUCACAGUCAAUCCCUUCCUUUUGAUAAUGUUUCUCACAAGUGUGUGUGUCUGAGACUGAAUAUAUAUAUACAGGAGUUGGACAAAAUAAUGGAGACACCUUAAAAUUUCAAACAGAUUAAUUUUAAUAUGGGGUAGGAUUGCCUUUGGCAGUAAUUUCAGCUUGAAUUCUGCGAGGUAUAGAUUUGUACAAAGUUUCAAUUGUUUCCAAAGGAAUUUUUGUC